rnacentral:rRNA from 1 species
UACGUAGGGACCAAGCGUUGUCCGGAAUCAUUGGGCGUAAAGCGCGCGUAGGUGGCUUCGUAAGUCCGUUGUGAAAGUCAAAGGCUCAACCUUUGAAAGCCGAUGGAUACUGCGGAGCUAGAGUACGGAAGAGGCGAGUGGAAUUCCUGGUGUAGCGGUGGAAUGCGCAGAUAUCAGGAGGAACACCAAUAGCGAAGGCAGCUCGCUGGGACGUUACUGACACUGAGGCGCGAAAGCGUGGGGAGCGAACAGGG